rnacentral:rRNA from 1 species
GUUCAAGAUACUAAGGGCACAUGGUGGAUGCCUUGGUGCUGGAAGUCGAUGAAGGACGUGGUCAGCUGCGAUAAGCUUCGGGUAGGUGCGACAACCUUUGAUCCGGAGAUUUCCGAAUGGGGAAACCCGGCUGGAGUCAUAUCCAGUCAUCUCAUACCCAAGUUGCUUGCAUAUUAAGUAUGAGAGGAGAAGUCGGCGAACUGAAACAUCUAAGUAGCCGGACAAGAGAAAGAAAUUCGAUUCCCUGAGUAGUGGCGAGCGAAACGGGAACAGCCCAAACCGUCGGUCCUCGGAUCGGCGGGGUUGUAGGAUCUGGUAUAAAGACCGAGUAGGGAUAAUAGAAGCAUCUGGAAAGAUGCGCCAUAGAAGGUGACAGCCCUGUAUGUGAAAUCCUGAAAAGUCCGACCGGACACCUGAGUAGCACGGGACACGUGAAACCCUGUGUGAAUCUGCGGGGGCCAUCCCGCAAGGCUAAACACUUUCCAGCAACCGAUAGUGAACAAGUACCGUGAGGGAAAGGUGAAAAGUACCCCGGCGAGGGGAGUGAAAUAGAACCUGAAACCGUGUGCCUACAAGCUGUUCGAGGACUAUGCAUGAAUCAGUCUGAGAGCGUGCCUUUUGAGUAAUGAGCCAGCGAGUUGUGAUAACCGGCGAGGUUAAGGGGUUAUACCCGGAGCCGCAGCGAAAGCGAGUCUUAACAGGGCGUUCAGUCGGUUGUUGCAGACCCGAAACCAGGUGAGCUACCCAUGGGCAGGGUGAAGCGGAGGUAAAACUUCGUGGAGGCCCGAACCUUCUAGCGUUGAAAAGCUAUUGGAUGACCUGUGGGUAGGGGUGAAAAGCCAAACGAACCUGGAGAUAUCUGGUUCUCCCCGAAAUUUCUUUAAGGAAAGCGUCAUGUGCUGAACCACGGGGGUAAGCCUCUGGACCGAUGCGGGCGGAGAGAUCUGUACCAACUCGGACUAAAGUGAGAAUACCGUGGGGUGUAGCAUGGCAGUGAGACUGCGAGGGAUAAGCUCCGUAGUCGAGAGGGAAACAGCCCAGACCUACAGCUAAGGUCCCCAAACACGACUAAGUGGGAAAGGAGGUGGGAUCUCAUUGACAACCAGGAGGUUGGCUUAGAAGCAGCCACCCUUAAAAGAAAGCGUAACAGCUCACUGGUCAAGAGAUCCUGCGCCGAAAAUGUAACGGGGCUAAGUCGUGUACCGAAGCUUAGGACUAUGCUUGUCAUAGUGGUAGGGGAGCGUUCUAUGGGAGUUCUAGCGUAACCGUGAGGAUACGUGGUGGCCCAUAGAAGUGAGAAUGCUGGCAUGAGUAGCGAUAAGAAAGGUGAGAAUCCUUUCCGCCGAAAGAGUGAGGUUUCCUGGGCCAGGCUCGUCCUCCCAGGGUUAGCCGGACCUAAGCCGAGGCCGAAAGGCGUAGGCGAUGGACAGCGGGUUAAUAUUCCCGCGCCACCAAUAUGUGUUGAAGCAGCAGGGACGCCUGAGGGUAGGUAGGAACGUGAUUGGUAGUACGUAUCCGGGACAUAGGCGAGUCCGUAGUGGCUUGCUGAAGGGAACCGGCGACGGUGCAGUCUGACGACGGCCGGAGCUAUUGGUCCCUCGGGACGAGAAAAGCUGUCUGUGGAGCAUAUUGGUGACCGUACCGCAAACCGACACAGGUACUCAGGGUGAGAAACCUAAGGCGUGCGAGAUAACUACCGUUAAGGAACUAGGCAAAAUCACUCCGUAACUUCGGGAGAAGGAGUGCCCUGGCUGGUGAGACUACUUGCUUGUUAAGCUGGCUGGGGCCGCAGCGAAGAGGCCCAUGCGACUGUUUACCAAAAACACAGGACUAUGCUAAGUCGUAAGACGACGUAUAUGGUCUGACGCGUGCCCGGUGCUGGAAGGUUAAGGAAGGGUGUUCGGCUUCGGCCAAAGCUCUCGACUGAAGCCCCAGUGAACGGCGGCCGUAACUAUAACGGUCCUAAGGUAGCGAAAUUCCUUGUCGGGUAAGUUCCGACCCGCACGAAUCGCGUAACGAUAUGGGCACUGUCUCGACGGUAGGCUCGGUGAAGUUGCAAUGCCGGUGAAGAUGCCGGCUGACUACAGUAGGACGAAAAGACCCCGUGGAGCUUUACUAUAGCUUGGCCUUGGUCUUUGGUACAUCAUGUGCAGGAUAGGUGGGACGCUUUGAAGCGGGAACGCUAGUUUCCGUGGAGCGAACGUUGAGAUACCACCCUUGUUGUAUUGGAGAUCUAACCGCACGCCGUGAAUCCGGCUGCGGGACAUGGCCUGGUGGGUAGUUUGACUGGGGCGGUCGCCUCCCAAAGAGUAACGGAGGCGCGCAAAGGUUCCCUCAGCGCGAAUGGAAACCGCGCAAAGAGUGCAAAAGUAUAAGGGAGCUUGACUGCGAGACUGACAGGUCGAGCAGGUGCGAAAGCAGGCUUUAGUGACCCGACGGUUCCUCAUGGUAGGGCCGGAGCUCAACGGAUAAAAGUUACCCCGGGGAUAACAGGCUAGUCUUACCCAAGAGUCCAUAUCGACGGUAAGGCUCGGCACCUCGAUGUCGGCUCGUCGCAUCCUGGGGCUGGAGAAGGUCCCAAGGGUUGGGCUGUUCGCCCAUUAAAGCGGUACGCGAGCUGGGUUCAGAACGUCGUGAGACAGUUCGGUCUCUAUCCACUGUGGUCGUAGGAGAAUUGAGGAGAGAUGUCCCUAGUACGAGAGGACCGGGAUGUACCAGCCUAUGGUGUACCAGUUGUCGUGCCCGCGGCAUUGCUGGGUAGCUAUGCUGGGAGUGGAUAAGCUCUGAAAGCAUCUAAGAACGAAGCCCACUUCAAGAUGAGUUCUCCCACUGGAUAACCAGGUAAGGCCCCCUGAAGAGUACAGGGUAAUAGGCUGGAGGUGUAGAGGCAGUAAUGUCACAGCUGACCAGUACUAAUCGGCCGAGGUCUUGAACG